CUUCUUCUUCUUCUUCUUCUUUGUUGAUCAAUCAUAAAACAAAAAGCCAUCUUUCAUCUUUUUCUUCUUCUUUCCUUUUCAAGACCUGCAAAUAUUUCUCGUCUCGAUCAAAGCUUUGCGACUGAUCACUGAUGUGCUUUCGAUCUCUCGUGACAACAUCUUCUUAUAUCAAUCGAGUUCAAAUUAUGUCUCCCUUAUUUCACACGAUCCAAGAUCUCGCCACCGAAACGCUUUCACGUACCGGAGGAUUCUUCGACGGCGAAGAGAGUGAUAGUGAAAUUGACGAUCAGUUAGCAGAUUCGUUGUUUGAUGGUUUUAGAGUACGAGUCGCCUCCGGAGGAAGAAGACGAAUUUGUGUUUCAUCGAUCAUCAUCACCACAACCCUAGGUUUGUGUUUUCCUAAUUUCCUUUUUCUUUUUAAAUAAAUAAAUUUUCUAUUAAUAUUACUAUUUA